rnacentral:tRNA from 1 species
GCUUCCGUAGCUCAACGGAUAGAGUGCCCGCUUCCGGUGCGGGAUGUUGCGGGUUCGAGUCCCGCCGGGAGCG